AACUUUUUCUUUAAUGUACAUCCUAAAUAUUGCCUUUUGUUAUGUGAAUAAACAUCGACUUUGCUAACAUAAUAUUGCCUGAGCCUUUCAUGCUUCCACAACGAUUAGGUUUACUUCAUUUUUUUAUGGAACACCACUAAAAAAUGAAAAUAAACACUUAAUUUUAUUAAGGUUGUAGAAUUCCUAAAAUUUUGUGAGUUGCUUCAUGAAAUCCUAUUAUUCUUGGAAUAAAU
rnacentral:misc_RNA from 1 species